GACGAACGCUGGCGGCGUGCCUAAUACAUGCAAGUAGCACGAGUUGCGAACGGGCGAGUAACGCGUGGUAACCUGCCUCAUACCGGGGGAUAACUAUUGGAAACGAUAGCUCAUACCGCACACUGUGAGAUGGACCUGCGUUGGAUUAGCUAGGUGGUAGGGUAAAGGCUCACAAAGGCGACGAUAAAUAGCCGACCUGGGAGGGGGACCAGCCAGACUGGAACUGAGACACGUUGCAGACUCCUACGGGAGGCAGCAGUGGGGAAUAUUGCAAAAUGGGCGCAAGCCUGAUGCAGCCAUGCCGCGUGUAUUAGAAAGGCCUUCGAGUUGUAAAGUACUUUCAGCGGGGAGGCGUUACCCGCAGAAGAAGCAACGGCUAACUCCGUGCCAGCCGCCGCGGUAAUUC
rnacentral:rRNA from 1 species